AUUGAACGCUGGCGGCAGGCCUAACACAUGCAAGUCGAGCGGAUGAAGGGAGCUUGCUCCUGGAUUCAGCGGCGGACGGGUGAGUAAUGCCUAGGAAUCUGCCUGGUAGUGGGGGAUAACGUCCGGAAACGGGGGCUAAUACCGCAUACGUCCUGAGGGAGAAAGUGGGGGAUCUUCGGACCUCUCGCUAUCAGAUGAGCCUAGGUCGGAUUAGCUAGUUGGUGGGGUAAAGGCCUACCAAGGCGUCGAUUCGUAACUGGUCUGAGAGGAUGAUCAGUCACACUGGAAGUGAGACACGGUCCAGACUCCGACGGGGGGCAGCAGUGGGGAAUAUUGGACAAUGGGCGAAAGCCUGAUCCAGCCAUGCCGCGUGUUUGAAGAAGGUCUUCGGAUUGUAAAGCACUUUAUGUUGGGAGGAAGGGCAGUAAGUUAAUACCUUGCUGUUUUGACGUUACCAACAGAAUAAGCACCGGCUAACUUCGUG
rnacentral:rRNA from 1 species